GCUCAGAUUGAACGCUGGCGGCAUGCUUUACACAUGCAAGUCGAACGGCAGCGCGGGGCAACCYGGCGGSGAGUGGCGAACGGGUGAGUAAUAUAUCGGAACGUACCCAAGAGUGGGGGAUAACGUAGCGAAAGUUACGCUAAUACCGCAUACGAUCUAUGGAKGAAAGUGGGGGAUUYGCAAGAACCUCAUGCUCCUGGAGCGGCCGAUAUCUGAUUAGCUAGUUGGUAGGGUAAAGGCCUACCAAGGCUACGAUCAGUAGCUGGUCUGAGAGGACGACCAGCCACACUGGAACUGAGACACGGUCCAGACUCCUACGGGAGGCAGCAGUGGGGAAUUUUGGACAAUGGGCGCAAGCCUGAUCCAGCAAUGCCGCGUGAGUGAAGAAGGCCUUCGGGUUGUAAAGCUCUUUUGUCAGGGAAGAAACGGUGGGAGCUAAUAUCUCUUACUAAUGACGGUA
rnacentral:rRNA from 1 species